CCUAUACCCCAAGGUCCAGAUGGCGGCCAACGUGGGUGAUCAGUGCAGCACAGAUUGGUCUUCUUUGUUCAGCAUGGUGGCUGGGGCCAGCAGAGAGAAUGGCAUGGAGAUUCCCAUGCACAAGAACCCAGAGUGGCAGAAGGCCCACCAGACCCUGGCCAGCAUCAGCAAAGCAGAGGCUGCCAGCAGCUCCAAAGCCAACAGCAGUGGGCCUGCAGCCAGUGCUCUCAGGCAGAAGCCUCAGCUUCGCCACAGCAGCAACAGUGCUACUGAUGCAUAGGCAAUACAACUAUGCCUACCUUGCCUUACAGCUACCACUCCCCCAUGAGCACAUACCAGUGACACAGCUCCCCCUCGCAGUAUGGGAUAACCAGUUCCUGGCGCUCAGCUACAGCUCAGCAGCUAUCAGCUCCCCAGCACCAAGAGACUCUAAGCCAGCCUCCAGUCCCCCAACAUGGAUGAGAGUAUGGCCUGCCAGGCUUUCCCUCAACAGCUACCUGCAGCCCAGUCCCCUCAGCCCUCGAACCUUCAGCAAGGGACACAUGAUCUAAGCAAUGGCUCUCUGCUUGGAACAGUCCCAGCCACUCAGCACAGGCAGACAGGGGCACCUACAGGGCAUGCAUAUGGCCCACGCAGCUGCAGAAAGCCUGCCAAGUCCAAGAAGGGUCAGCAGCUGUGGGCCCGCAUAAAACCAGGCCCUGGGACUGGAGGUCUCAUGUUUAACAUCCAGAAGUGGCCCUUGGCUGUCACUAACCAGAACUUCAGCUCCAACGCAAGGGUCAACACUGUAGUUUUGGCUCCCAGUUCAACUCAGAGAAAGCUCAGAACCACAGUGAGCCUUCCAGUCGGGGUGGGAGCUGUCUGGGAAGCCAGAUGAUUGGCUGCAGGUUAUGAAGAAAUAUGUGGAGCUUUGCUUCACCACCUGCGAGUCAGUCAAGGACAAGGACCAGAGAAGCUGCUCAAGGAGGUGCCACAGGUCUGGCACCAAGGAUGGCUCCGCCUACACCAUAGACUGGAAUCAUGAGCCUCUGCCUGGGCUGAGCAGGGAGCAUGUGGCUAAAAGGCCCAAGAAGAAGCAAUUGAAGGCCUUUAGCAGCCUUCACCCUCGCGGGGGGGGGGGGUGGGGGGGGGGGGGGGGCAGACUCAGUAACUCCUGGGGCUUGAGGGUGCUGGCUGAGCUCCAGGUAGCAGCUUUGCUGAGUUGGUGACCUUAGCGUCGUCAUGAAAUACCACAGCUCCUCUUCCAACAUGGAUCCUCACUCCCACUCUUCAUCCAGGUCCCCUAACCGCCACUUCCGGAGAAGUGACACCCACUCAGGCAAGCUCAUACUCUAG